GGCUGUUGUUGUCGCCAUUAUCCGGGCUCCCUGUGUUAGAGGCCUGGUUCCGAGCUUUGCGCGGUCGCAUAGCCUCGUGCAAAACGUUUUCAGUUCGUCGAGAAUUUCCUGGAGUUUUUUAUUGGAGUUUUUGACCUGAAUCUAAUGAAUAUUGUAUGGAUUUGUUUUUGGAUGGAUUCCGCACCCGUGUAAGUAUCAUGCGUUUGUAUAAUUAGCGGAAAUUGCCAUAAUUUUCAUCUUCAGUAUUUGUUUAUUUCAGCGAAUCUCGUGGUAAUUCGUGAUAAUUUUGAAGUUGAAACUCGUGUAGAACUUUACCCGUGAAUAUCGACAAGUGGAAAAUAAAAGUUGUGUUCAUAUCCAGAAGCAUCUCAUCUAUCUGACCUAUCUGAAUUCCAACAUCAUUCGACGGAAGAGUAAAUGAACACUGAGGAUUAUUAUCUUGGAAACAUGAGUGAAAACGAAGCUAGUAGUGAAGUCGAACGAAUAGAAAGCAAGAAAAGGUCCCUAGGAGGCUACCUAGGGCGCGUGAGUAUUCACAUGAAAGAGCUCAAAACUUGUCUUGAUGAUCCCUCUAGAGCCAAUGAAAUACAGACAGCCUUGAAUGAAUUACAGUCGGCUUUGAAUAACUAUGAGGACUGCUAUCAGUCGUACAUUUUGGAAGAAUUGGCAACCGAUGAAUUCAACAGAGUGAAAGAGAAAUUUGAAGAAACUCGUAAUGAGUGUGAAACUACUACCAAAUUGGCAAAUGAACGUUUGAAGAAAGGAAAGUCAAACUCAACUAAGUCAAGGCUGUCUAGUAGGUCUAGGAAAUUAAGAGAGAAAAUAGAAAUGAAAAAGCUUCUUUUGCAACAAGAAGAAGAGAUAGCUCAGCAUCGAAUGGAUCUGGAACGUAAGAAAAUAGAAUUGGAAUAUGAACAGAAAGCGAGAGCAUGUAAGCUCAAGUUCCAGGUUCAAAUCGCAGAAAAGGAAGCUGAGUUAUUAGAAGAGAGAGGGAGUGAGUCUGAUAGUUGUGUGUCAGAAGAGUAUAAAGGGGAUGUAGGGGUCAUGCCACCCAUGUCUCAAGAGGAAAAGCUAAUGAAAUGGACCGAGCAAUGUGACCCCAUUCCUGAUAAUCCUAGACCAGACACACCUAAGCUAAUGGAGGGCCCUUCCCAUCCUAAAGACCCCAUUCCUGAGAGAAAACCCCAGAUUAAUGACCAAGAAGCCCCCCCUAGUAGUUAUAGGAAAACCCCGUUUGGUUUUCUUCCCGUGAACAGUACUGAUAUCAUGUUAAAGCUGACCAUGCUCCAAGCCAUGCAACCUGUUAAGUUCUCUGGGAAUCCAAGUGACUUUCCUAAUUUUAGGAAGAGAUUGAGAGAUAAUUUAGAAGAUGAAAUUUUAAGUGAUUCACAAAAGGUUGAAUUCCUACCGAAGUUCCUCUCGGGGGAGGCUUUUGAAGUUGUGGAAAGGGUUUCCGGUUGCAGCUAUUCAGUGAUAGUUGAUAUUUUGGAAGACCGAUAUGGGCAGCCAGCGACCGUCGCUGCUUCUUGUAUUGACAAUUUGACCAGAGGCCCAAGAUUGAACAAUCAUGAUUAUAAGGGACUGAGGGAUUUUGCAGAGCAACUUGAAUCAUCCUCAAAGAAACUUGUUGGGGAAUAUGCUAUUGAAGCCAGUACCAUCUCAAACAUGAAACAGAUAGUUAGAAGGCUUCCCCAGUAUUUAGUAAAUAAAUGGGGUGAUGUAUCCUACAAGAUAAGAGAAAAGGGGGGUAUCCCUAAGAUUUCAGAUUUGGCAGAUUAUGUGAAGAGGCAAGCAGCCAUAAAGAAUGACCCAGGUUUUGUUAACCUAAGCAUGAGUGAGAACAAGGGCGGUGGUGAUAAAAGACCCGAGCAGGGUGGGAAAGGCAAGAACUACCAGAAACAGACUUCUGUCUUUAAAACAGACAUGGAAGGCUCACCCCCUGAAACUACUAUGGGUAAACAAGCCCCAAUUAAGACCUGUCCUUGCUGUCAAGGAGAACAUAGGCUUUCAGACUGUGCAAAUUUCAAGGGAAGGGACUUACCCGGCCGUUGGCGACUGGUAAAGGAGAAGAGAUUGUGUCAUAUAUGCCUUAGGCCAGGACAUAUGAGGGACAGAUGCCAUACAACCACUUUUUGUAACUGCAAAAGUGAGCGAAAACACCACACCUUGUUACAUAACCCCCCUAGAGCUAAAGAUGACCCUCCCAAAGAACUUAACUCGAGCGCAGGGGAGGGGACAACCGAGGGACCCCCUAGAAGAGACCAUGCUCAGGGCACCCGGGGUGGGGAGCCACACAGGCAAACCGAGCAAUACGCAACAUUUUCUGAAAGAGCCACGGGGACGGUGUUACUACAUGUUGUACCAGUUAAAUUGAUUGCCCCAAAUGGGAACUCUCUGACAACGUAUGGGCUACUGGAUAAUGGCUCAAGAGGAACUAUGAUAAGCUCGGAGGUUUCAGCGAAACUCGAACCUAAAGGUCAUACUGAGGAAAUAUCCAUCACCACCAUGAUGGGAAGUAGUAAGGAACAGAUAGAGGUUGUGGAGUUUGAACUGCAACACGCAAGUGGUGAAGGGGAUAGAAUUCCCGUAACUGAGGGUUUGGUAACGAAGAAAUUCAAUGUCAACGAAAAGUGUCUUCCUAAAGAUAUUGACAGAGAUGCACACCCGCAUCUGAGGGAUAUUGAGAUUCCCUCGGUAGACAUGCCUAAGGUUUCGGUUCUGAUAGGAAAGGACGUUGGCUAUGCGCAUGAGGUGUUUGAAGUGCGUAGACCAGCGACGAAAGCCAGUGAUUUGAAGGCUUUGAGAGGUCCUCUUGGAUGGGUAAUUACAGGAACCCUUCAAGGGGAGACCUCAUGCAAGGAAGUAAACCUGAACUUUGCUGAUUAUAAGAAAGAACUUCAGCAUCAGAUUGAGCGGUUCUGGGACUUGGAGAGUUUCGGUACAAAGAGUGUUGGGACGGACAAGGGAUCCCCAAGUUUUAUAUCGCACCAUCUGUCCAGGGAAGACAGGAAGGCUAUCGAUAAGUUGGAGAAGACCAUUACUAAGCGUGAUGGUCACUAUGAAACAGGCCUCCUGUGGCGGGAUGAUGAUGUGACCCUACCUAAUAACCGGAAUGAAGCCGACAAAAGACUGAAUAGUCUGAAGCGUAAGUUUUCACGAGAGCCUGGAUUGGAGGAGAAGUAUCGAGCAGCCAUGGAGAAGUAUAUCACUAAAGGGCAUGCACGCAAACUCAGCCCAGAAGAAGCACAAGAGACUGGACCGAGAACUUGGUACUUACCUCAUUUUGCAGUGACGAAUAUCAACAAACCUGGUAAGCUGAGGAUAAUUUUUGAUGCUGCAUCAGAGUACCAAGGUACUUCGUUGAAUAAGAACUUGUUACAUGGACCUGAUUGUACAAACAGCCUGACUGGGGUGCUCCUACGGUUCAGGGAGGACAAUGUUGCAUUGGUAGCUGAUAUAGAAGGGAUGUUCCUUCAGGUCGGAGUUAGAGAAGAAGACCAAGAUUCUCUGCGAUUUCUUUGGUGGGACAAAAGCUCUGAUGACCCUCCAGAAGAAUAUGCCAUGAACGUGCAUGUCUUUGGGGCAACCGACUCGCCUUGUGCAGCCAACUGGACACUCAAGAAAACUACAACUGACAAUGCUGGUGACUUUGGAGAUACCACCAUCGAAACUGUCCUGCAUAAUUUUUAUGUGGAUGAUGUACUAAAAAGCGUAGACACGAGUGCGAGUGCAGUCACGCUUGCGAACGAGUUAACCGAACUUUGUGGUAGAGGAGGGUUCAACCUCACAAAGUUUAUGAGUAACAGUAGGGAGGUCCUUGCUGAAGUGCCUAUCGAGAAGAGGGCAGCACCAACGCUAGAUUUAGAUCUUGAUGAACUCCCAGUCGAGCGGGCACUUGGAGUUAGAUGGAACGUGGAGACAGACACCUUCGGGUUCAAGGUGAGCAACACUGAGAAGGCUGAUACUAUGAGAGGAGUACUAUCGACAAUCAGCUCUGUCUUUGACCCUUUGAACUUUGCUGCACCAGUGAUAAUGCGUGGCAAGCAGAUCAUGCAAGCCCUAUGGAGGCGGAAGGCACCAUGGGACGAGCCGCUCAGUGGAGACAUUCUGCGUCAGUGGCAGACAUGGAAAAGGGAACUUGUACGGCUUGAAGAUUUGUCCAUCCCCCGAUGCUACUUCAGCAGGCCAGACCAUGAAGGUGUUGGACUACAACUCCAUCACUUUAGUGAUGCCUCGGAGGCAGGAUACGGGUCAGUAAGCUACUUACGAAUCGAGUACCCGGACGGAAUGGUGGAGUGUGCUUUCGUCGCCGGAAAGUCAAGGAAUGCACCUAUUAAAGGCUCAACCAUCCCAAGGCUGGAGCUACAAGGAGCCCUACUGGCAACACGGGUGGACCAAGCAGUUCGCCGAGAACUGGACCUGAAGCCUGACAGAGUCGUGUUUUGGACUGAUUCGAUGAUAACACUUAACUAUAUCAAUAAUGAAACCCGCAGAUUCCAGACGUAUGUAGCCAACAGGGUUACAGAGAUUCGCGAAGCGACUAAUCCUGACCAAUGGCGACACUGUCCGGGAAAACUAAAUCCUUCCGACGAAGUAAGUCGAGGUCUAACCAUAGAUGAGUUUCUCCGGGAUGAGCGAUGGCUUAAUGAUCCGAGUUUCUUGAGAGAGUCAGAAGAUCAAUGGCCAGAUAAUAAAUUUGAUGCCCUGUCUGAAGAAAGUCUGGAGAUAAAGAAAGAAGUGUUCUUCACUGACCUGGAGCCAGGAGAUGGCCUGGAAAAGCUUCUAACCGACACUUCUGAUUGGAUGAAGACCAUUCGAAAGGUUGCGUGGGUAAUGAAGUUUGUGGAGUGGUUGAAGACAAGAAAGCAUGCAAAGCCUACUGAAAAGACACCUGGAGAGUCAGAGAACAAGCUAAGUCCAGACGACAUAGAACGCGCCAAGCGACGAAUAGCUGUACUAGUACAGCGGGAAAGUUUCCCUGAAGAAGUGAAGGCUCUGAAGGCAGGAAAGGAGGUGAAUGUUGCUAGUGCUAUCUUGAAGCUUAAGCCGGUCAUGAAAGGCGAUGAAGUUAUGAGAGUUGGAGGAAGGAUCUCGAUGGCACCGAUGAGUGAUGAUGCCAAGAAUCCCAUGAUAUUGCCGAAACAGAGUCAUAUCACUACUAUCUUGAUCCGCCACCUACACGAAAGCAACGGUCAUUGUGGCGUGGAACAAGUACUAUCCCUGCUGAGAGAGCAGUUUUGGAUUGUGAAAGCGAGAGUGGCCAUCAAGGCUGUUCUUGGAAGAUGCAUUCAUUGUCGCAAGCAAAGAAGAACUACUUUGAAGCAAGAGAUGGGAGAUCUACCUAGAAUUCGGAUGAUCCCUUACGAGCCACCCUUUACGUAUACAGGUAUUGACUAUUUUGGACCGCUAUAUGUUAAGCGGGGAAGAGGAAGAGUGACUGAGAAGCGCUGGGGAGCUAUCUUUGUUUGCAUGAACUCCCGAGCAGUUCAUCUCGAGUUAGCUAAGUCGCUAGAGACGGAUGAUUUCAUACUCGCUCUGAUGAGGUUCCUGAAUCGCAGGGGCCAUGUUGUGGAACUGUGGUCGGAUAACGGGUCCAAUUUUGUGGGAGCUGAUCGGGAGAUACGUGAACAUCUGGAAGGAAUGGAUCAUGACAAGAUCGGACGUGAGUGUUCUGCGAAAGGAUGCAAGUGGAUCUUUAAUCCACCUGGAGCCACCCACAUGUCAGGCGUGUGGGAGAGGAUGGUGAGAGUCGUCAAGCGAAGUCUGAAGGCGAUCCUGGGGAAGAACCCCCUCAACGAUGAAGUGCUGACCACCGUGUUUACUGAAGCAGAACGUAUCGCGAAUUCAAGACCGCUAACCCGGAAUCCAGAGAAUCCUGAUGAUGAGGAUCCUCUUACGCCCAAUCACUUUCUGAACGUGCGACCUACGAUGAAUCUUCCUACGGAUACGGAUGAACGGGCAGAUAAGUACAGUCGGAAGCGGUGGAGACAAGCGCAAUUACUUGCUAACCACUACUGGCGUCGCUGGUUGAAAGAGUACAUUCCUUCCUUGCAAGUUCGAAGCAAGUGGAACAGGAAACAGCGAAACCUACACGUCGGAGAUAUAGUGCUCGUUGCGGACGACAACGUUGGACGAAACAACUGGCCUCUUGCGCGCGUGAUUAAUGUGUUUCCUGGCGUGGAUGGAUUGGUAAGGAGUGCAGAGGUGCGCGGUAAAGGGACGACCUACAAGCGCCCGGUAACCAAGUUGUGUCUGCUGGAAGCCGAGGAUGAGGAUGUCUAGAUACGGAUCGGAUUGGAGACUCAAGGGACAGACGUAGAUAGUGUAAUAUAGAACGGACAUUAGCGUUAUGACAAUACGUUUAUAGUUAUGAACCUCCUCCGCAGGAGUUCAUGGGGGGCGGGAUGUUGUCGCCAUUAUCCGGGCUCCCUGUGUUAGAGGCCUGGUUCCGAGCUUUGCGCGGUCGCAUAGCCUCGUGCAAAACGUUUUCAGUUCGUCGAGAAUUUCCUGGAGUUUUUUAUUGGAGUUUUUGACCUGAAUCUAAUGAAUAUUGUAUGGAUUUGUUUUUGGAUGGAUUCCGCACCCGUCGAAUCUCGUGGUAAUUCGUGAUAAUUUUGAAGUUGAAACUCGUGUAGAACUUUACCCGUGAAUAUCGACAAGUGGAAAAUAAAAGUUGUGUUCAUAUCCA